CGUAAACACUCCCGUUCAUUAUUGCUAACGCUAUGGCUAACCCGCUGCGGUCAUAGAGAUUUUCGGGAAAAUAAAAGGAAAUCAUGGUCCAACUAUGUCAGUGGGUAACAUGUAACUCCUACAACUGUUAUCCAGAGCGCUUAGAGGGCAGAAUACAAUUUAUUACAUUUUCAAAACCCAAAGAGAGUGUAGAAUAAAGCAAGAAAUGGAUCAAAGCCUGCAGCCCACCUCCUAUCCAGUUGAAUGAAACUGUGAACACAACUACCACCUGCUCGUCUGUGUCAAGCAGCACAGCGGGACAUUGGUCGUGAUUAUGCAUCAGUCGCUGAGGGAUGUCCAUGGUUAUGCAAUCGCAGUCCAGUGGUGCUCAGCAUCUCAGAGGAAAGAACCUGAGCGCUGUUUAUCCCUGGAGUGACCCUAAGAACACAUCAGCUCAUAUCUGGGCUGAAUAUCUAACCGUCAAGGAGCUUCUGCACCAGGGUGGCUGGGCUGUGCAGAGUACAGAGGGCCAGGCAAAUUUUCCUGCAGUUCUUCUGGAGGGACACCUAAUCACAAGUGACAGAGAGGCAAAACUGGAAAUUUGAAGGUAAUUCAUGUUGAAGUCAGGAACAUUUCCAAGUCUUUCUUCCCCAGACAAAAAAAAAAAUGAUUGUGAC